AUGGACGAGCUAAGAGCCAGGAUGUCAACACACCGGGAAAUGAGAGAAUGCUGUGCCCUCAUUUUCACCGAAACCUGGCUCUCACACAACGUCCCGGAGUCGGCGGUGCAGCUCGAGACUCACUCGGUGCACUGCGGAGACAGGACAGCAGCCUCCGGUAAGAGGAAAGGAGGCGGUGUGUGUGUGUUUAUCAACAACGCGUGGUGCGGAGAUAUACGGACCGUACACAAGCACUGUUCACCGGACGUGGAGUUUUUAUUGCUGAGAUGUCGUCCCUACUACCUACCAAGGGAAUUUACGUCUGUGUUUCUGGCCGCUGUGUACAUUCCGCCGCGAGCCAACACUACCGUAGCGCUACUCCACGACGUCAUCAGCGAACUCGAGACGGCACAUCCCGAUGCCGUUUUGAUUGCCGCCGGCGACUUCAACCACUGCAACUUACGGUCUGUAUUUCCCAAAUAUUACCAGCAUGUGGACAUUCCCACCCUUGAGAAAAACACCCUGGAUCAUGUUUACACCAACAUACGUGGGGCAUACAGGGCUGCACCCCGCCCCCACUUCGGACAAUCGGACCACAUCUCUUUGUUCCUGUAUCCGGCCUACAGACAAAGACUGAAGCACUCACCCCCGAUCACCAAACAGGUUAAGCUCUGGACCCCAGAGACUGAGGGCACAUUGCAGGACUGUUUUGCUAGGACAGACUGGGAUGUGUUUAGAGCUGCAGCCACACUGGAGGACUCUUCUGUCAACGUACAGGACUAUGCUGAGUACGUGACUGGGUACAUUAGCACUUGUGUCAACAACAUCGUACCCACCGCACAAGUCAAGAAGUUUCCCAACCAGAAGCCCUGGAUAAACAGUCAGGCACGACACAUGCUGCGUGCUCGCUCUGCUGCAUACACAUCUGGCAAUGAGAGUGAGUACAAAACUGCAAAGUACGGACUGAGGAAGGCCAUCACAGCGGCCAAGAAGCAGUACAGAGAGAAGCUGGAUGACUUCUACUCCACUGCUGACUCCGGGCGGAUGUGGCAAGGCCUGCAGCACAUCACUGACUACAGGACCAGCUCCAGCACCACCAGCACCUCAGACAGCCUGCCAGAUGACCUCAACACUUUCUACGCACGCUUUGAGACCUCCAACCCCAGCACAGAGAGGAGGCAUCUACUUAACCCCCAACCGCCCUCCCACCCCCCACUGGUCGUCUCAUCAGCCGAGGUACGCACGGCCCUGAGGAGGAUAAACCCCCGCAAAGCAGCAGGACCAGACAACAUCCCUGGGCGGGCCCUCAGAGCAUGCACCAACGAGCUGACAGACGUGCUCACCUCCAUCUUCAACCUUUCCCUCAGUCAGAGCACCGUGCCCUCCUGCUUCAAGACCACCACCAUCGUCCCCCUCCCCAAGAAGAGCCCCCCCACCUGCCUGAAUGACUACAGGCCAGUAGCACUCACUCCAAUCAUCAUGAAGUGCUUUGAGAGGGUGGUGCUGACACACAUUCGGAGCAGCAUACCGGACACACUGGACCCCCUGCAGUAUGCCUACCGUCCCAACAGGUCCAACUCGGACGCCAUUGCUGCUGCCCUUCACUUCUCCCUCUCCCACCUGGAAAAUAAAGACUCCUACAUCAGGAUGCUCUUUAUAGACUACAGCUCUGCCUUCAACACGGUCAUCCCCCACAAACUCACCCACAAACUGUUUUCCCUUGGACUCCACCCCUCCCUCUGUGACUGGCUCCAGGACUUACUGGCAGGCCCCAGUCUGUCAGGAUUGGGUCCAGGACUUCAGCCAGCCUUAUUACGAACAUUGGCACUCCUCAGGGUUGUGUCCUCAGCCCCAUCCUCUACACCCUCUUCACCCACGACUGUGUCGCCUCCCACAAGGACAACACCAUCCUGA
rnacentral:lncRNA from 1 species